GGGAAGGCUAACAUGCAGUCGAACGGGGCGUGCCGAUGGAAACUUUUCGGAGCGGAAAUUGGCGCUGCCUAGUGGCGGACGGGUGAGUAACGCGUGAGCAACCUGCCCUGCACUGGGGGACAACAGCCGGAAACGGCUGCUAAUACCGCAUAGGCGCACAGCCCUGCAUGGGGCGGUGUGGAAAGUAAUACGGUGCAGGAUGGGCUCGCGUCUGAUUAGCUUGUUGGCGGGGCAACGGCCCACCAAGGCGACGAUCAGUAGCCGGCCUGAGAGGGUGGGCGGCCACAUUGGGACUGAGACACGGCCCAGACUCCUACGGGAGGCAGCAGUGGGGGAUAUUGCACAAUGGGGGGAACCCUGAUGCAGCGACGCCGCGUGGGCGAUGGAGUGCUUCGGCAUGUAAAGCCCUAUCAGCAGGGAGGAAAAUGACGGUACCUGACUAAGAAGCCCUGGCUAAAUACGUGCCAGCAGCCGCGGUAAUACGUAUGGGGCAAGCGUUAUCCGGAUUUACUGGGUGUAAAGGGAGCGUAGGCGGCCUGGCAAGCCUGAUGUGAAAUACCGGGGCCCAACCCCGGGGCUGCAUUGGGAACUGCCAGGCUGGAGUGCCGGAGAGGCAGGCGGAAUUCCUAGUGUAGCGGUGAAAUGCGUAGAUAUUAGGAGGAACACCGGUGGCGAAGGCGGCUUACUGGACGGUAACUGACGUUGAGGCUCGAAAGCGUGGGGAGCAAACAGGAUUAAAUACCCUGGUAGUCCACGCGGUAAACGAUGAAUACUAAGGUGUUGGGGAGCAAAACUCUUCGGUGCCGCAGCAAAACGCAUAAGUAUUCCCCCUGGGGAAUAAGUUCGCAAGAAAUGAACUCCAAGGGAAUUGAGGGGAACCCGCACAAGCGGUGGAGCAUGGGGUUUAAUUUCAAGCACCGCAAAGAACCUUAACCAGUUCUUGAAAUCCC
rnacentral:rRNA from 1 species